AAUGAACGCUAGCAACGGAUCUAACACAUGCAAGUCAAUGUCUAACAUGGCGUACGAGUGAGUAAAAGUUCGGAAUUUACUUGAAAAUUGGGAAUAUAAACUAAUACCCAAUACCCAAAGAAUAUAUCGUUUUCAAAAAAGCUGAACCAGAAUGAGGUAGUUGGUAAGACAAAAGCCUACCAAGCCUACGAAACUUAGCUGGUCUUAAUGGACGAUCAGCCACGACGAUACUGAAACAAGGAUCGUUCUUAGCUUUUUUCUAAGGCAGCAGUGGAGAAUAUUGGACAAUGAGCGAAAGCUUGAUCCAGUUACGUUGCGUGGGAUAACCCUUUCAUCAAAGAAGAUAAUGACUUUACUUGAAGAAGAAGUCCUGGCUAACCUCGUGCCAGCAGCCGCCGUAAAAC
rnacentral:rRNA from 1 species